GAUAUCGAAGAUGAGUAGGUAGGUAUCUCAUUUUAACAACUUUAAAUUGUUUUUUGCGUCUUCGAGUCCGUAAGUAUCUAUUCAUAAUUCAUAUAUUAUGUACCUAAUGGCUAAUACCUAUUAUAAUAUUGUUUUGUGCGGUGCGACGAAAUUCCGGACGCGAAUCUCGGUUUGUAUAUUAGGUAAUAAACAUUUUCUAGAAUCACCUAUGGUCAUGUUCGAAAGUGCCUAACAGCUAUAAAACUAUAAUAUGUAUAAUCAUUGAUUAUUAAUAGUAUUUAUAAUCAACGGUAGGUACUAUAUUUUUGUGUAGCGACGAUACAAGCCUUGAGUAUAUUAUACACUACCUUCAGCCAGACGACGCACUCCGUCUGUUUCUAUGGAGGAUUGGAGGAUUACACUCCGGGCAGCGCGCCAAGGCUAAACAACUACUAUAAACCAAUGUAUGCAGUAUGCUCCUUUUUUUCGCACAGUGGUCCGCGUUGUUCUCCGAAGGUUUCAAGCCAUUCAAAUUUAAAAUCCAUGAUUCGGCCAGUAGAGAAACGGCUCACGUCCGUCAGUCAUUCAUCAGUGUACUGCGACACACCGACACCGUGCAAGUUUUGCGUUUUGUAUAAGUGAUAUAAAAUACUGAAAUUGUCAAUAUUAUGUUUCCCUAAAGAGAAGCAAUUGGUCUAUCUACACCUCAAGCACGAAAGAAAAAGAAAUUGGGAGGCAAGACUGUAAUCCGCUCGAGAACGCGAUCUAGAUUUAGACGAACAGUGCACCCUAAUUCGAAUAUUUUUGUUAUUUCAUUGCUUUAAUUUGCUUAUUUUGAUUACAGUCUUCAUCUUAGGAUGGACCAUAUCAUUGCUUCUGAUUUGAUCUGCUGUAUGUGGCGUCGGAAAGCCUUCUGAUAGAACCUUUCAAAAUUAUUCGUGAAUGCACUACACCAGCUAGCAGUACCUCUUUCAAUUUGCGGGCCACAUUUGAAAUUUAUAUUUAUACUGCGGGCUUUACAUUAUACUAUUUAUACUACACUGUUUUUCUUUGUUCAUGAUGAUAAAAACAAUAAUAGAAAAUAUAAUUAUCUUUGUUCACUUAUCGAAUUGAUUACUCUUAUUGUG